rnacentral:rRNA from 11 species
GACUCUCGGCAACGGAUAUCUCGGCUCACGCAUCGAUGAAGAACGUAGCAAAAUGCGAUACUUGGUGUGAAUUGCAGAAUCCCGUGAACCAUCGAGUUUUUGAACGCAAGUUGCGCCCGAAGCCAUUCGGUUGAGGGCACGUCUGCCUGGCGUCA